GUGACAAGCACUGGCAGAGAACAUUUAUAAACGUUUAUAAACGUUCUCUGGCACUGGUAACAUUUUUUGGUAAUAAAAUUUUCCGGUUACAAAAUCUUCGGUAACGUGCACAAUAUACCUGAUAGAGAACUUUGGCGACGAUAAUUUAGCGUAACGAUUCUCGGAAUUGCACUGCUGGACCCCUAAAAAUGCAGUUCCUUUUGCGCAAAAUUCAGAACUACCGAAAGCAGUCCCGCAUCUUCCAGUUCGAUAAGAUCUUUCCGCAUUUGUUCACUUUUUCGCGGCAAAAUAAGCUGAGCCCAUCGCCACAGCCGCCAUGUGAGGUCGCUCCAGAUUAAUGCAGAGCUCAGCAAAAUCAAAUAAAUUUAACUUAUGCACUAUUGGACAGCUCUAAAAUUUCAAAACAAAAUGCAUUACGCAUAAAAAUGUUACAAAUAUUCUCCAGUACUCACCUGUAAGCGAAAUAGAGUCUUUUGCAAUAAUUCCUCCUGCGCAAA